rnacentral:rRNA from 1 species
CCCCAGACUCCUACGGGAGGCAGCAGUGGGGAAUAUUGCACAAUGGGGGAAACCCUGAUGCAGCGACGCCGCGUGAGUGAAGAAGUAUUUCGGUAUGUAAAGCUCUAUCAGCAGGGAAGAAGUUGACGGUACCUGAGUAAGAAGCCCCGGCUAACUACGUGCCAGCAGCCGCGGUAAUACGUAGGGGGCAAGCGUUAUCCGGAUUUACUGGGUGUAAAGGGAGCGUAGACGGCAGUGCAAGUCUGAAGUGAAAGCCCCGGGCUUAACCCGGGAACUGCUUUGGAAACUGUACGGCUGGAGUGCUGGAGAGGUAAGCGGAAUUCCUAGUGUAGCGGUGAAAUGCGUAGAUAUUAGGAGGAACACCAGUGGCGAAGGCGGCUUACUGGACAGUAACUGACGUUGAGGCUCGAAAGCGUGGGGAGCAAACAGGAUUAGAUACCCCGGUAUG